rnacentral:rRNA from 1 species
UACGUAGGGUGCAAGCGUUACUCGGAAUUACUGGGCGUAAAGCGUGCGCAGGCGGUUGUGUAAGUCUGUCGUGAAAGCCCCGGGCUCAACCUGGGAAUUGCGAUGGAGACUGCAAGGCUUGAAUCUGGCAGAGGGGGGUAGAAUUCCACGUGUAGCAGUGAAAUGCGUAGAGAUGUGGAGGAACACCGAUGGCGAAGGCAGCCCCCUGGGUCAAGACUGACGCUCAUGCACGAAAGCGUGGGGAGCAAACAGG